CCUACGGGAGGCAGCAGUGAGGAAUAUUGGACAAUGGGCGCAAGCCUGAUCCAGCCAUGCCGCGUGCAGGAAGAAGCAUCUAUGGUGUGUAAACUGCUUUUGUACGGGAAGAAACACUCCUACGUGUAGGAGCUUGACGGUACCGUAAGAAUAAGGAUCGGCUAACUCCGUGCCAGCAGCCGCGGUAAUACGGAGGAUCCAAGCGUUAUCCGGAAUCAUUGGGUUUAAAGGGUCCGUAGGCGGUUUAAUAAGUCAGUGGUGAAAUCUGGUCGCUUAACGAUCAAACGGCCAUUGAUACUGUUAGACUUGAAUUAUUUGGAAGUAACUAGAAUAUGUAGUGUAGCGGUGAAAUGCUUAGAUAUUACAUGGAAUACCAAUUGCGAAGGCAGGUUACUACAAAUGGAUUGACGCUGAUGGACGAAAGCGUGGGGAGCGAACAGGAUUAGAUACCCUGGUAGUCCACGCCGUAAACGAUGGAUACUAGCUGUUGGGAGUAAUCUCAGUGGCUAAGCGAAAGUGAUAAGUAUCCACCUGGGGAGUACGUUCGCAAGAAUGAAACUCAAAUGAAAUUGACGG
rnacentral:rRNA from 1 species